CCCAGUACUUGUGUUUUCGUUGAACUGUUAGACAAAAACUUAAACAUAGCUGCAAAAAUAAAUCUUCUCUGCAACCCAGAGCUCACUGUUGGGUAUGAGCCUAAAUACACAUAAGGAGUAUGAUA